rnacentral:rRNA from 1 species
CGUGGGUAACCUGCCCAAGAGAUCGGGAUAACACCUGGAAACAGAUGCUAAUACCGGAUAACAACAGAUGAUGCCUAUCAACUGUUUAAAAGAUGGUUCUGCUAUCACUCUUGGAUGGACCUGCGGUGCAUUAGCUAGUUGGUAGGGUAACGGCCUACCAAGGCGAUGAUGCAUAGCCGAGUUGAGAGACUGAUCGGCCACGUUGGGACUGAGACACGGCCCAAACUCCUACGGGAGGCAGCAGCG